AGUAAUACAUCGGAACGUGUCUUCUAGUGGGGGAUAACUGCCCGAAAGGGCAGCUAAUACCGCAUGAGACCUGAGGGUGAAAGCGGGGGAUCGCAAGACCUCGCGCUGGAAGAGCGGCCGAUGUCCGAUUAGCUAGUUGGUGAGGUAAAGGGCUCACCAAGGCGACGAUCGGUAGCUGGUCUGAGAGGACGACCAGCCACACUGGGACUGAGACACGGCCCAG
rnacentral:rRNA from 1 species